rnacentral:SRP_RNA from 1 species
GCUGGCUUCACUGCAGUGGCCGGCGUCAGAUGCCUCCCGUGGAUGGAUUGCGUA